UGGGAACCCAAAAUGCGGGGGGGGGGGCUCAGGUCGGGGCCGCUUUUCGGGCCCGGAGUUGGACGGAGCCUUCGGCGGCUGCUGCUUCCCGCCAGGAAUGUUCUCGGGGCUCCCUGGGCAGAACCAGCUGGGCAGGGAACGCGGGCCGGGAGGAGGCCGGAGCGACAGAGAGUGACCCAGCCCUGCUUGGGCUUCCUAUUGCCGGGGGAUGGAGGAGCUGUGCCCUGGAGCUGUGCCCUACAGCCCCCGUGGGGUGGGCACGGGGAAAGGGCUGCCCGCGGCUCCUCAGCCGCACGUGCAUCCCUUUGCUCGGGGAAAAGAACUCCCCGGGGCCGCUCCCGAGGCUCCCAAGGGACAGCGGCUUCCCGGCCGGAGAGACGUCCUCGCCCGUGCUCAGGGGCUGCCUCGCCCCGGGCCGGGAGCGCGUCCGGCCCCCGCCUUCUCCUGGGCCAACCCAUCCCCUGGAGCCCGGCCCGGGGCGGAGAAUCGGCCCAAUUCCAGGGAACUCGCUCAAGUCCCCCCAGGGACACCGGCGGGGCCGGGGCAGGAGGGUUACAAACAGCAAAGUCUGUGCAACAUCAACCUGUCCUUGUCCCGAUCCCGCUGAGCAAACCUGGAACCGUGGCUGCUUCCUGGCAAACCUGGUGUUAAAGCGGCAGCUCUGCAGGGGAGUAUCUGAGCUCCAGGAGACACUGGGAGGUUAUUCCAGCAGGAAUUCAGCAUGGAAUUGCGGGCUGUAGGUAGAAGUCAUCUAAACCUGCAAAGCUGAGACCGGAACCCAAACCUGGGCCCCCCGCAGAGAACAAUCUUUGUGCUGCUGUGUUGGCCAAAGCUGCUGCACUGAGAGAUCUUGGCAGCCUGAGGGAGGGCAUUCUCUAUGUCCCAGAAACCAGCAUCUCCCAAGGGGACAAUCCAAGUCCCAAAAGAUUCCUUUGGCCUUUCCACAGGGACUCUGACCCUUAUUUGGUCCUGCUCUCCCACGGUUCAUUUUGGGGGAUUGGUUUGUGCUGGUUUACGUUCCACGACUCCACCCACAGCUGGAGGUUUGGGGCUGUGCUUCUCUACUCCCAGCAGGUUCCCUAAGGAGCCAGAUACUCCAACAAUCCCCUGGUUUGACUUUCUAGGUGAAUUGUACACAAGCCAGUCCCCCAUUCCCUAUCCAGGCUGGGAGUGCUCGUGCCCUUGGCACAGUUGGCUCUGGCUGGGCAGGAACUGAGAGCAGGACACGGGGCAGAGCGGAUCAGCUGCCCAGGGAACCUCCAGGAGAUGAAGCUAUGGGAUCCUCAUUCCAAUCAAGGGAACACGUUCUGUCUCUGGCAGAAGCCGGGAGCCAAAGCAGAUCCCGCCUGGCCAGGCUGGGGGGCAGCAGUUGGAUCCACUCUGGGGGAAAGCCCCUGUGCCUGCCAGGAGCUCUGACUCUGUUUGUCCUGCCAGCUCCUGACCAGUGUCAGGGCCCCUGGGAGGGAUUCAGAAUCCAAAGAAACCCCAAAUCCUACCGAGGGACUCAUCCAAAGGAAGAAAGCCAUUCUUGUCAUAAAAAGCUUAAAAAGCUGUUAAAAGUUCUAGGACAGCAAUACUGGGAUUCCCAGGAAACUUAGUAGUGUCUCGGUUCCAUUUCAAUGUAUCUUUAGUCCCUCAAUGAGCAGCUUGGAGAACUUCCCCUGGGAUUUGGAGGCUGAGCAGGGUUUGCUUUGGAUUGCCUGGCACCUCUGGCCCCAGCUGGUGCAAACACAACUUGGGCCAAUGGUCAGUGCCCAGUGUGUCCCUGUGGGCAGUGCCAGGCUGGGGACAGGCACACGCAGCUGGCAGCACUCUCUGCCCCAAACAGCCUCGGGGGGCAGCGCAGCCCCCCCAAGGGGGGGAUCGAGGGGGGCUGGAGGCGGCCCAGGAAAGGCCCCCCCGCUCCCCCCGGGGCAGCUCCACAGCCCCCCUGCCCUCUCUGCCACGGGGGCCCCGCUGCUCCCCCGGCUGGCACAGAGCCCCCUGCCCAUGGCUGGCAAAUCAGGGCCAGGGCUCGGCCUCGCUGCAGCCGCCCCACACGGGAGCAACUCAGGGCUCAGCCCAACAUUUCCCUGCUUGGCCACUGCAGAGACCCUCAGGUCACCUCAACACCUUCCUUCUCUUCCCAGCAGGUUUCCCCAGCUGGGAGCUGCAAGGAAUUCAGGCCAGGGAAUGGACAGCAGGGAACAGCUGUACAUGCAAAGGCAGAAAGAGAAGGUCUGUCAGCAAAAGGCACAAAGAAGGGGACAGGCUUCAGAAAACAUUUCUGCAAUCUAAUGAAGAACUCUUUCCAGUUUCCCAGGGAGAAGAACAGGAACUCACAGCCACCAAGGCCUGACAGUCCCCUGCAGCCAGAGCUCAGCACACAGCCAGAGAGGCAAUUCCAGCAUCUAAAAGGAAAAAAAAGAACAAAAAAAGUGAUUUAUUUUGGUUUAAAGUUACUUUAAGUUGUUCCAAGCAAA